rnacentral:rRNA from 1 species
AUUGAACGCUGGCGGCAGGCCUAACACAUGCAAGUCGAACGAGUGGCGGACGGGUGAGUAAUGUCUGCGACACUGCCCGAUGGAGGGGGAUAACUACUGUAAACGUUAGCUAAUACCGCAUACCAUCGGAUGUGCCCAGAUGGGAUUAGAUAGUAGGUGGGGUAACGGCUCACCUAGGCGACGAUCCGUAGCUGGUCUGAGAGGAUGACCGGCCACACUGGAACGGGGACGCGGUCCAGACUCCUACGGGAGGGAGCAGUGGGGAAGGUGGGACAAUGGGGGCGAGCCUGACGCAGCGAUGCGGGGUGUAUGAAGAAGGCCGUCGGGUUGUAAAGUACUUUCAGGGGGGAGGCGUUACUCGCAGAAGAAGCACCGGCUAACUCCGUGCCAGCAGCCGCGGUAAUUC